rnacentral:misc_RNA from 1 species
UCCCCCGUGAGGGGGCAGUCUCGCCUGAUACUUAUAACAGACAACGAGGGUUGCGUUCGUUACCCCACUGAAGGGAACAGUUCAAACCACGAACUGACGACAGCCAUGCAUCACCUGUCCAGCACCCUCGAAGGCUACUACGUUUCCGCAGUAUGCAGCUGGAUUUCUAACCUUGGUAAGGUUCUUCGUUUAGCGACGAAUUAAGCCACACGCUCCACCGCUUGUGCGAGCCCCCGUCUAUUUCUUUGAGUUUUAGCCUUGCGGCCGUACUACCCAGGCGGAUCGCUUAACGCGUUAGCUUCGUCUCCCAGAGGGUCGAUACUCCAAGAAACCAGCGAUCAUCGUUUAGGGCUAGGACUAC